AGCCCCCAGACCACUUUCUGGGGAGGUGAUGAGUUGUCAUGUCCACAUCCCUGUACUCGAUGGGGUGAAGGAGGUUACUUGACCUCCAACCUCAGGGUCAGGUGACUGUUUGAGGCCAUUGUAUGGGGAGUAAAUGUCGUAGGAACGGGUUAAAAAAGGCUGAGCAGUGAAGGUGACAUGUCUGGGCAUGCUUCCUUAAAGAAGAAGGAGAAAAAUAGGGAGAGGUUAGAGUCAUUGAUGUGAACAAUUCCACUUGGAUUUGUAAAAGAAAUUAUCAGCUUAGAAGGAAAAUACACAGCUUACCUGAUGAGCUUGUACACUUGGCAGAGGAUGAGGAAAUGAUUCAGCUGAAAUUCUGUAUCUAGAUUCAACUUAGGGUGGAGAACGGCCUCGCCUGCUUUUGGAGUCUGCAAAAAGAUGCUGCUGACCAUCUGAGCGUCUUAGGUAGAUAAAUGUGAGGUGAUGAGUCUUUACCCAUCUGUGAAUAUGUGUGUGGACCAGAAGUCUGUGGGAUGAAGUGAGUGUAAUGAUCAAAGAGGAUAAGAAAAGUGAGAUGCAGAGGGGACCACGACUGCAGUUCUGGUGAUGCUGUAGCAGCACGGAAUGGUUUGUGGGUUACACUGAGAUGCAGGCCAUACUGUGCUGCCGCAGUAAAACCUGAAUACACAACCUGGCUGCCAACCUGUACUGCCUCAACCUGUUGCAUAUUUCACUCAUUUUAAAGGAAUCAUGUCUCCUAUCACUUUUGCAUAUCUAACUCAUUGUAUGAAGAACUGUCACCUGGAUUAUAUUUCUGCUAAUAAAACAAAGUUUGUUGGAUUCUCCUUCUCUCAUCUCCUGGUCGCCUUACUGUAGCAGCACGUAAAUAUUGGAGUUAAGACUUUUGCUGAAGCCUCCAGUAUUGAUCGUGCUGCUGAAGCAAAGCUGACCACUCACAGUCAGUGCAUCCAACCACCAAGAGAACUCCAGGAGUGCUUACAGGUACAACGUUUACACACAGAUUUAGAUUACCUCCAGCACCAUGUUAUUUCCAAACACACUGUUCAUGUCACUGCUUCUGCUCUCUUCAAAUAAAGAAUUAAAAUGA